rnacentral:lncRNA from 1 species
UGGACCCUUGUGAUAUGUGCUCACCCUUCUCUGCUCAGCUCUGUGCCUGGGAGGCUGACCUCUACAGACUGCAUCACCAGGCUUCCGCCCUCUGGCUUCCAGAUGGAUUUGGCCAAUGGGCAGCACCAGUGGGAAAGGAGAGGACAGGAGGAGAGACAGUCUGAGGCCUCCCUCCUCCUGUGUCCCUGACAUACAGUGACAGUGCUGCCCUGCAGGAUGGCAUAUCAGAGAGCUCAGGAUGGAUGCAGUCAAGGACGACAGCCCAUGUCCAAAAAAGCUGCCUGCUGAACAUUUGCCCAGCAGAUUUUAUAAAGAAAGGAAACAUCUUAGUGAUUUUCUUGCCUCCAGAAGAUUCCCUGAUCCAAUCUUUCCUUGGCACAAACUUUUAGUUAUUGUGUUUACAUAUACAUUUUAUAUAUGCGUGGUCAUUAUUGUAUCUGUUUUAUUUGGGGACUUUAUCUUGAUGUGUGUUAUACCUAAUACACUGCAAUAUAAAUU